rnacentral:rRNA from 1 species
UACGGAGGGGGCAAGCGUUACUCGGAAUUAUUGGGCGUAAAGGGCGCGUAGGCGGUCGUGUGCGUCGAGGGUGAAAUCCCCAGGCUUAACCUGGGAGCUGCCUUCGAUACGGCACGGCUUGAGUCCGGGAGAGGGGAGCAGAAUUCCCAGUGUAGCGGUGAAAUGCGUAGAUAUUGGGAGGAAUACCAGUGGCGAAGGCGGCUCCCUGGACCGGUACUGACGCUGAGGCGCGAAAGCGUGGGGAGCAAACAGG